CUAUCUGUCUGUCUCUCUCUAUCUGUCUGUCUCUCUGUCUGUCUGUCUCUCUCUGUCUCUGUGUCUCUCCAGUAAAAUCAAGAAUCUGAACUGGUUUCAUUUCUGGUUUUGUCUGUUUUUACUCUCAGGAACUUUCUCGAUUUAAAGACUUAAAGGUGCAGUACACGUCACGCUGGUGGGAAGCCGGCGAGGGAUCCUGUCCGACUGGUUCCAGGAGAGUCUGGUGCAGUCAGUCUGAUCUCCAGUCCACAAGUUCAGACUCAGAGGCUGCAGAUGAGACAAGAAACCACUCAGUGUGUCCAUCCAAAUCAGCUCAAAUUGUGACUGAAUUUCAGAAACUCGUGAAAAUAAAACCCGACGUGCUGCUCGUCUCCGCCCGCCGCUGCUACGAGAACGCGAGCUGAUUGGCUGAUGGAGGUGAACAGCUGGUGGAGCUGAUCCUCCAGCCGCUGCCGUUAAAGCGUCGCAGAAGAAGAGGACGCAGCGAGACGACGUCAGUAAAAGCUCAGACGAUGGGAACAUGACGUUUUUGUUGGCUUCAUGUGUUCAUGUGAGGAAGGCUGCAGCCUCCUCAUCGCUCCACACACACACACACACACACACACACACAGCUGAUGCCUCGGACAGGAAACUCUUUACAUGUUUGAGUGUAACUUGGUGCGAACUGAAAAUGUCCUAAAAACACGGAAACACACUUCCUGUUGGACUCACGUUCACUAUCGACGCCACAGGAGCGAAACCCGUCGUGCUCAAAAACAUCCAGCUGGAAAAACGCUGGAAGCAUUUGCAAUCGAGCUGCAGCUCCUGAAGCAGCAGGGGGCGCUGUCCCAGUCCGUUAGGGACAUAAUCAUAUCCACACACGAGCAGACAGUACGUCCCCGUCUUCACCGCAAACGUUACGUCCCAGAAGUCAGCGAUGCCAUAAAGAGACGCAGAGUUCAGUCGAAGCUAAACCACGCGCGGUCUCUCCGUCCAACCGCGAACCUGCCGAACCGAGGGGGCGGAGCUUCACAUUUAAGGUUGUUCCAGGACAGGAUCCAAAACAUUGUGUUUUUUCAGAAUAAAUGAACAGACGUUUUGUGUGUUUUCAUUGGACGCACAAAGCAAAGUUAGUGACACAAAGUGUGUUUCUCACAGUCGUACUGAGCUUUUUCACACUCGGGUCGUUAUUUUCUAAAACAUGAAACAUCGGGAGGAAAUCUUCACGCUCCCACUUUACAAACUGAUAAACAUGUUCAUAAGAUGACUGUCGUCUGGCAGACUGAGACACUGACAGACAGGAAGUGAGACAGGCUUUUCAGAGUAACAGCGCUCCUGUCUUCUGGGGACGAAGGCCUCCGAGGCUCCGAGGGGUGGACCGAGUCCGACCAAAGAGAUGAAAAACAACGAGAGGAGGAAUGAAAAGAGAUGAGGAGGAGAGGAAAUCAGUUUAACCUGAGAAGAAACUGAGGAGGGAAAAAGAGGAAAGACGAGAGGAGAGAGAUGGAAAGAAGAUUUCUGUAUUUCCAGGAACAGAAAAUAAACUGAGGAGAGGAAGAGGAGGAGAGGAAGAAGAGAUUCAUUUAUUUCCAGCAACAAAUUUCAAACUACGAAGAGUAUAAAGAGAAAAAGAUGAAGAAAAAGAAAAAGGGAAGAAGAGAACAAAAGAGGAGAGGAGCAGAUGGAUGAGGAGGUAAAGAAAAGCAGGAAAAAUGAAAAGUGAGGAAGAGGAGGAGGAGGAGAAAAGAAAGCAUUCACUUUUGUUCCAGCAACAAAAUUCAAAGUGAGAAAAAAGAAAAACAAAGAAAAGGAAAAAUAGGGAAAAGAGAAAAGGAGAAGAAAAACGGAAAGCGAAGAAGAAGAAGAAGAAGAAGAAGAAGAAGAGGAGGUGCUGCGUCUCCUCCUGGAUGAAGAGCAGUUUAACUUCUGUUGUUCUUCUAUAUUUCACUGUUUUGUCUGGUUUCUCCUCAUGUUCUAGUCUUCUCCACUGUGUUUUAUUUUAAUUUGACUCUAUUGUUUGACUUUACUGCAGCUUCAGUGGGACCUAGCGAGAGAGUCGGCAACAAAAAGAAGAAAAACAGACGAGAAGCCAGAAAAU